GAUGAACGCUGGCGGCGUGCCUAAUACAUGCAAGUCGAGCGAACAGACGAGGAGCUUGCUCCUCUGACGUUAGCGACGGACGGGUGAGUAACACGUGGAUAACCUACCUAUAAGACUGGGAUAACUUCGGGAAACCGGAGCUAAUACCGGAUAAUAUAUUGAACCGCAUGGUUCAAUAGUGAAAGACGGUUUUGCUGUCACUUAUAGAUGGAUCCGCGCCGCAUUAGCUAGUUGGUAAGGUAACGGCUUACCAAGGCAACGAUGCGUAGCCGACCUGAGAGGGUGAUCGGCCAAACUGGAACCGAGACACGGUCCAGACUCCUACGGGAGGCAGCAGGAGGGAAUCUUCCGCAAUGGGCGGAAGCCUGACGGAGCAACGCCGCGUGAGUGAUGAAGGUCUUCGGAUCGUAAAACUCUGUUAUUAGGGAAGAACAAAUGUGUAAGUAACUAUGCACGUCUUGACGGUACCUAAUCAGAAAGCCACGGCUAACUACGUG
rnacentral:rRNA from 1 species